AAAUUGAAGAGUUUGAUCAUGGCUCAGAUUGAACGCUGGCGGCAGGCCUAACACAUGCAAGUCGAACGGUAGCACAGAGAGCUUGCUCUCGGGUGACGAGUGGCGGACGGGUGAGUAAUGUCUGGGAAACUGCCUGAUGGAGGGGGAUAACUACUGGAAACGGUGGCUAAUACCGCAUAACGUCGCAAGACCAAAGAGGGGGACCUUCGGGCCUCUUGCCAUCAGAUGUGCCCAGAUGGGAUUAGCUUGUUGGUGAGGUAACGGCUCACCAAGGCGACGAUCCCUAGCUGGUCUGAGAGGAUGACCAGCCACACUGGAACUGAGACACGGUCCAGACUCCUACGGGAGGCAGCAGUGGGGAAUAUUGCACAAUGGGCGCAAGCCUGAUGCAGCCAUGCCGCGUGUAUGAAGAAGGCCUUCGGGUUGUA
rnacentral:rRNA from 1 species